UAGCUCAGUUGGUAAAGAGUCUGCCUGCAAUGCAGGAGACCCGGGUUCGAUCCCUGG
rnacentral:tRNA from 1 species